CGGAUGCAUUCAACACGUUUCAAGUGACUUGUAUGUAGAUAUAGAGCCAGUGCAAGUCGAUUAUGGCAGGAAAUCAAAACAACUUGGAGACUAUGCUUAUUGGAGAGGCUGCUUCUUGGGAGUGCAAAGUAAGCAAAACAACCCACACAACUACUGCAAUCAAAUAGGAGUAGUUGCUAGAAGUAUACUUUGUUGAAAACUCAUCGAUGUGCCAAUUUUUGAUAGUCAAGG